rnacentral:rRNA from 1 species
ACUGUGAAGGAAAGGUGAAAAGAACCCCGGGAGGGGAGUGAAAGAGAACCUGAAACCUUAUGUUUACAAACAGUCGAAGUUUUUCGGAACGACGGCGUACUUUUUGUAGAACGGUCCGGCGAGUUGCAGUGACAUGCGAGGUUAAGGAGUACAGCUCCGGAGCCGAAGGGAAACCAAGUCUUAACUGGGCGUCUAGUAUGUUAAUGCAGACCCGAAACCGGGUGACCUAUCCAUGGGCAGGUUGAAGUUACCGUAAAAGGUAAUGGAGGACCGAACUCACAUCUGUUGAAAAAGGUGGAGAUGACCUGUGGAUAGCGGAGAAAUUCCAAUCGAACUCGGAGAUAGCUGGUUCUCCUCGAAAUAGCUUUAGGGCUAGCCUUGAGGUAAAGUCUAAUGGAGGUAAAGCACUGAUUGGACGCGGGUCCCCAAAAGGAUACCAACUUCUAUCAAACUCAGAAUGCCAUAUAGAUAUACUCAGGAGUCAGACUAUGUGAGAUAAGUUUCAUAGUCAAAAGGGAAAGAGCCCAGACCGACAGCUAAGGUCCCAAAGUGUGUGUUAAGUGGAAAAGGAUGUUAGGUUUCUAAGACAACUAGGAUGUUGGCUCAGAAGCAGCCACUCAUUUAAAGAGUGCGUAACAGCUCACUAGUCGAGAGGUCUAGCGCCGAAAAUGUCCGGGGCUAAAACACACCACCGAAGCUACGGAAUUACCUAUGGUAAUUGGUAGAGGAGCAUUCUGUAAGGAUGAAGCACAAUUGAAAGAGAGUGUGGACGAAACAGAAGAGAGAAUGCCGGAAUGAGUAGCGAGAUAUAUGUGAGAAUCAUAUAGGUCGAAUGUCUAAGGUUUCCUGGGUAAAGCUGAUCUGCUCAGGGUAAGUCGGGACCUAAGGUGAGGGCGAGAGCCGUAAUCGAUGGACAACAGGUAGAAAUUCCUGUACUACGUAUAAUCAGAACUGUGGGGACGCAGGAGGAUAGGAAAACCGGAGAAUGGAAAUAUCCGGCUAAGUACAAAGGUGUGAGUGAUAGGCAAAUCCGUCACUAUUAGCUGAAGUACGAAUGGGAGCGAAGAAAAGUAGCGAAGUUUCUGAAUCCACACUGUCAAGAAAAGCCGCUAUUGCGUUAUACGUACCCGUACCGCAAACCGACACAGGUAGACGAGGAGAAAAUCCACAGACCGACGGGAGAAGUGUUGUUAAGGAACUCGGCAAAAUGACCCCGUAACUUAGGGAUAAGGGGAGCCAACGCAAGUUGGUCACAGAAAAGAGGCUCAAGCGACUGUUUAGCAAAAACAUAGGUCUAUGCGAAACCGUAAGGUGAUGUAUAUGGGCUGACACCUGCCCGGUGCUGGAAGGUCAAAAGGAGAGGUUAGCGUAAGCGAAGCUUUGAAUUCAAGCCCCAGUAAACGGCGGCCGUAACUAUAACGGUCCUAAGGUAGCGAAAUUCCUUGUCAGGUAAGUUCUGACCCGCACGAAAGGUGUAACGAUUUGAGCACUGUCUCGACAACACGCCCGGUGAAAUUGAAGAACCAGUGAAGAUACUGGUUACCCGCAACAGGACGGAAAGACCCCAUGGAGCUUUACUGCAGCUUAAUAUUGGGAUUCGGUAUUGUAUGUACAGGAUAGGAGGGAGACUAAGAAGCUAGCACGCCAGUGUUGGUGGAGUCGAUGGUGGGAUACCUCUCUUAUAAUACUGAAUUUCUAACCUACUUCCGUAAUCCGGAAGAGGGACAUUGUUAGGCGGGCAGUUUGACUGGGGCGGUCGCCUCCGAAAGAGUAACGGAGGCGCUCAAAGGUCUUCUCAGAAUGAUUGGAAACCAUUCAAAGAGUGUAAAGGCAAAAGAAGGCUUGACUGCGAGAGUGACAACUCGAGCAGGUACGAAAGUAGGACUUAGUGAUCCGGUGGUAACAAGUGGGAGUGCCAUCGCUUAACGGAUAAAAGCUACCCUGGGGAUAACAGGCUUAUCUCCCCCAAGAGUUCACAUCGACGGGGAGGUUUGGCACCUCGAUGUCGGCUCAUCGCAUCCUGGGGCUGUAGUAGGUCCCAAGGGUUGGGCUGUUCGCCCAUUAAAGCGGUACGCGAGCUGGGUUCAGAACGUCGUGAGACAGUUCGGUCCCUAUCCGUUGUGGGCGUAGGAAAUUUGAUAGGAGCUGUCCUUAGUACGAGAGGACCGGGAUGGACGAACCUCUGGUGAAUCUGUUGGUAACCAAUGCCACAGCAGAAUAGCCAAGUUUGGAACGGAUAAACGCUGAAGGCAUCUAAGCGUGAAGCCAACCUAAAGACUAGAUUUCCCAUGCGAAAGCAGUAAGACUCCUUGU